AGAAGAUAUUUCUAAUCCUGAUGUCACACUGAAUAUCUGCCCCCGUAAUUCUCUAACUGUCCUCUCAACAAGAUCACUCGCUGGCACAAGCACUGAAAAUAGAAAUGAAUGGUACAGGCGGGCUCCCAUUAAGACAUACACUUCCUAAAUUACCUUUUUUUUAUCACAUUUUCAAGUUGAAACCCAGGCAGUUUCAUAGAUAUCUCAUUCAGGAAAGAAAGACACC